GGGGUUGUGGCUCAGUGGCAGAGCAUUUGCCUUGCAUACAUAAAACACUGGGUUCAAUCCUCAGCACCA
rnacentral:tRNA from 1 species